ACAUUUUACUCAACUGUGGUUUAAAGUUUCAGUACUCAAGAGCGAUUGAAUAGCUCCUCUGAACACAGAUCCGCCAUUGCUAAGUUAUGGCACAGCCGUUUUACAUAGCUGGUAGCUCAAGUCCCCUCAAUGUGACUACACUAGUUGCUGCUGUACGCUAGUAAAUUCUGAUGACUUGCGAGCAUCGUAAUGACAAAAUGCUGUGGUGAAACAGUGAAUAUGUUAAGUAUACUUGUUGAUGGUAAAUUGUUUGACAUUGCUCGUUCUCAGUUGCCUUUCCCCUGCCUAAAGAUAGACAAAGGCUACCGUUAGCAUGCUAUUGCGUUAGCUCAUCAACUAGAUGCUGGGCACUGCUCAUUUUUCACGUCUGCCCGGUAUUUCGCUGAUGAACUAACGCUUAGACGCCUUGCCAAUGUAUUUUACAGCGGCAAAAAUGCAUCUAGGCGACGUUGGAAAGACUGGUGUGCCGUCUGGGUAUGUUGGUUUUCAGUGCUGGGCAGUAGCGAAGCGACUAGUUUAAUUACAUUCUCUAGUAGCUUGGUCGUAGCGUCACUACUAUGUAUCGAGUAGCUAACAUCCCUGUAGUAAUGCUAUUUUUCCUCAAGUAGCGACGUUGUCUACAAAAGCUACAAUUUGUCCCCCAUCGAUUUUACUCAAUGAUUUUUGUUUUACUUUCUCUAUCCUGAAACCUAGGCAGUCACACAGGGGUUCCAAGACCCACCGGCGUAAAAUCAAGUCAAAGGCUGCUGUCUCAUAAUAUGGCGAAGACGAGUCACCUGAAGGCCUAACUCGCCAUAGAAGACUGAAAGAAUUGUCCUGCAGGAUGCUGUGUCCUGCAAUCCUGUGUGCUGUGCUACAGACGCGUGUGGAGGUCAACCCAAAAUGGGCACAGUCUCACCGCAGAAGAGUGAAAGAGGGUAAGCUUAACCUAUAGCCUACGUCAGGGUCGGGGAACGUUUCUCAUUCGAAGGGCCGCUUCAAAUUCAUCCGAGGGGCCGUAAAAGUCCUCCAAGGGCCGUACUAUGAACACAAACCAGGAUUUUCCCUUUCACUUUAGGCCUAUAUUGAAGGCAGCCACAUUUAAACAAACACCACCUUCUUCAGGUUCCCUGAAUAUGACUUAAUUGUAUUGCAAAUGUAUUUUCUAAGAUUCCUUUACAAAAUAUGUCAUAUUUCAUGUGAAGCUGAAUAGCAUUAAAAUUAUAUCGGGGGGCCAGAUAAAACUGCCUCAAGGGUCGCAAACGGCCCUAGAGACAUAGGUUCCCCACCCCUGGCCUACAUUGUCAAUAUGACUUGUGCUACUUUAUAGAUAAGUAAUCAAUGCUGUGCAUUGCUAUGUUUUGAUUUAU